AUUGAACGCUGGCGGCAGGCCUAACACAUGCAAGUCGAGCGGAGUGGCGAACGGGUGAGUAAUGCCUAGGAACCUGCCUGGUAGUGGGGGAUAACUUCGCGAAACGGGAGCUAAUACCGCAUACUAUUAGAUGAGCCGAGGUCGGAUUAGCUAGUUGGUGGGGUAAAGGCCUACCAAGGCGACGAUCCGUAGCUGGUCUGAGAGGAUGACCAGUCACACUGGAACUGAGACACGGUCCAGACUCCUACGGGAGGCAGCAGUGGGGAAUAUUGGACAAUGGGCGAAAGCCUGAUCCAGCCAUGCCGCGUGUGUGAAGAAGGCCUUCGGAUUGUAAAGCACUUUAAGUUGGGAGGCGUUACCAACAGAAUAAGCACCGGCUAACUUCGUGCCAGCCGCCGCGGUAAUUC
rnacentral:rRNA from 1 species